rnacentral:rRNA from 1 species
UUGAACGCUGGCGGCAUGCCUUACACAUGCAAGUCGAACGGUAGAGGGGCAACCCUUGAGAGUGGCGAACGGGUGAGUAAUGCAUCGGAACGUGCCCAGUCGUGGAGGAUAACGCAGCGAAAGCUGUGCUAAUACCGCAUGUGAUCUGUGGAUGAAAGCAGGGGACCGCAAGGCCUUGUGCGAUUGGAGCGGCCGAUGUCAGAUUAGCUAGUUGGUAGGGUAAAAGCCUACCAAGGCGACGAUCUGUAGCUG